rnacentral:rRNA from 1 species
GACGAACGCUGGCGGCGUGCUUAACACAUGCAAGUCGAACGGAAAGGCACUGCUUUUGUGGGGUGCUCGAGUGGCGAACGGGUGAGUAACACGUGAGUAACCUGCCCUUGACUUUGGGAUAACUUCAGGAAACUGGGGCUAAUACCGGAUAGGAGCUCCUGCUGCAUGGUGGGGGUUGGAAAGUUUCGGCGGUUGGGGAUGGACUCGCGGCUUAUCAGCUUGUUGGUGGGGUAGUGGCUUACCAAGGCUUUGACGGGUAGCCGGCCUGAGAGGGUGACCGGCCACAUUGGGACUGAGGUACGGCCCAGACUCCUACGGGAGGCAGCAGGGGGGAAUAUUGCACAAUGGGCGGAAGCCUGAUGCAGCAACGCCGCGGGCGUGAUGACGGCCUUCGGGGUGUAAACCGCUUUCGCCUGUGACGAAGCGUGAGUGACGGUAAUGGGUAAAGAAGCACCGGCUAACUACGUG